CUCACCUGCUGGAGGGACAGGAUGUCAGAGGCCGGGAGCCCCCAGCCUGCAAGAGGGCGCAUCCACAGUCUGGGAGUCUGGUGUACUGCCUCAGGAGAGGGGACUCUACCAGGGUGGGGGACACAGAGGCCAAAGCCUCAGAGUCCUGGAGGGGGCUGAGACCUGGUAUCCAGAGGGCUGGCCCCGCGGGACAGGACAGGGAGACUGGGAAGAUGGUUUUGCUGGGCCCUUCCUCCACCCCUGCGCCUGUGUCUCAGUUUCACUCAGUGAAUGUUCCACCGCUGCAGAGAUGCCUGCUUAUAGGGGAGGAAAGCAGGGCCUGGAGCUGUGACAACUCCCUCAAGGCCACACAGCUAGAGAGCUGCAGUACCAAGUGGAUUGUGGGGAGGUGGGGCAGAGGCGAAAAGAAGUCUCCUGGUAGCGGGGUGGGAAAGCGGACAGGCACCUGCCUUCCUCCCCCACCACAGUCAGAAAAAGAUGGAGACUGUGCUUAAGUCCUGCCCAUUGAGGGACUGGCCACAUGGCUCAAUGACCAGGAUGGGACAGUGAGGAAACUGAUGACACAGACAGGCCCUGAGGCAGCAAUGGGUAUGUGGCCACUUCCUAAGGCCAUGUCACAGUACGAGCAGAUUCCCCUGCAUAUCUGCCAUGUGGCCCUCACUUCCUCCUACCAUGAUCCCACAGUGCCUGGCACUGAUCCCAGCCUGGCAGGAGUGGCACCUGUCACCUCCAAAGCCAGGGAAGUGGCCUGAUAAUUGCUCCCUUCGUUUAUCCUGCCCUACUCUGGGCCGGAGCCUGAGGCAUGAUGACCCCUCCUAGGUCUGAUGAGCAAGUGGGAGUCUAUUCCCAGCUGAGAAUUCCCGUCUUCUUGGGGCAAAAGAGGGGUGUGGUCAGUGUUUGAGGCCUGCAGAGAGCAGGCUGGGCUCUCAGGGCCACCUAGCGGGUAGAGCAGACAGCAGUGGGGUUUUCAGGGCAGGGGCAUGACGGCAGGCUCCGCACUGGAUAUGUGCCAGGCAGUACCAGGAAGUCACUUGAGUAAAGGGCCACAAUAAUGAACUUGUCCUCAAAAUAGGUCCCCGACUCCCGGGAUGGGCAUGCAGUACCAAGGCAUAAGCCAUGGGUGUAACAGUCCAGAGUGGAGCAGAAGUCAAGGCCAGAGCAGAGGCUAGGUGACAGGCUGUAUCUACACCAUUGCAGACGCCAUCUGGACAAGCCUGGGAAGACGCUGGCAUUCAGCCCCUUCUUUCAUCCCUACUACUACCGCACCGAAUCAUACCACCAUUUUUAGCUUUCCCCUUUGUUACUAUAGCUGUCACCAAACCCUCCAAGCACACUCCUGCCUCAGGACCUUUGAGUCUCCCGCUCUGGGAGACCUUCCCCAACCAUUCUAUCUAAAAUUUUAAACCCCUCCUCUAACGUUUCAUAUAUCUCUGCUUUAUGUUUUCCCCCUCAGCACUUUCUGCUGUCCAGCCUAUCGUAUUUUAUUCAUUUAUCUUGCUUAUCCUGCAUCCACGUAAGCUUGCUGAGAGCAGGCACUUGGGGCUAUUCUGCUUAUGCCAGCAUCCCCAGGGCCUUGGAGAGGGCCAGACGGCAGGUGAUAAGAAAGUCUUUGCUGAGUAGGGUGGCAGGGAGGUCGCCACUGGCCUGCCAGGGUGGGCAGAGCUUCAGCCAGAAGUGUGUUCACCAAAGGGUGGCUGUGGCUUAAGACCUCAAGAGUCUGUGUGUGUACUCUGGCCCUGCUUUUCGCCAUGGUGAGCUUGGCAGGCGACUUUGCUUCUCUGUGGUUCAGUUUCCUCUCUGUCAUAGGUACAAUAGUGCCUGCCUGAGAAAGUUGUUUUGAGGAUCAACUGAGCCACAACUUUGCAAAGUAACUGGGACAGGGCCCAGUACAUAAGUGUUUUAUAAAUUUACAAAGUUAUACAUUAAUAGACUUCCCCUCAUUUUUAACCAAAAAUAAUUGGUCAUUAAAGCAGCUAGCACUGAUAAGUAACAGUGGUCCCUCCUUAUCCAUACAUUCUAAGACCCCCAAUAGAUACCUGAAACCAUGGAGAGUACCAAACCCUAUAUUUACUUUUUUUCAUAGAUACUACCUAUAAUAAAGUUUAAUUUAUAAAUUA